UGCCCUAUGGUGUAACGGUAACACAGAGGCCUCUGGAGCCUUGGUUCUGGGUUCGAAUCCUAGUAGGGCAG
rnacentral:tRNA from 2 species